rnacentral:rRNA from 1 species
GACGAACGCUGGCGGCGUGCUUAACACAUGCAAGUCGAACGGAGUGCCUAUGACAGAGACUUCGGUCAAUAGAUUAGGUUACUUAGUGGCGGACUGGUGAGUAACGCGUGAGGAACCUGCCUUUCAGAGGGGGACGAACAGUUGGAAACGAACUGCUAAUACCGCAUGACACAUUUGGGUCGGGCAUCGCCCGGACUGUCAAAGAAUUUUAUUCGCUGAAAGAAUGGCCUCGCGUCUGAUUAGAUAGUUGG